GAAUUCAGAUGAAAAAGUCAUCAACAACAAAUUUGUAUAACUCAUCAAGAUCUAUAACUUAUAUUAUAUUCAUUUCCUCAUCCGACAAAGUGAUGGAAACAUUUUCACAAAAUUUACAUAUCUCUCUCCAUAGUUUAUAAAACUAUAUAAGAGAUAUACAUUUUGUGAACAAUGUUAUAGAUAACUUUGUUGGAUGAAGAAAUGACCAAAAUAAAAGUUAUAGAUCCUGAUGAGUUAUACAACUUUGUUGUUGAUGACUUUUUCAGUUGAAAUC
rnacentral:pre_miRNA from 1 species